UUUAUGAAUUUUCCGGUAAUAAUCUUGUUUCCCCAGAAUGUUUCCAGCAAGAAAGCACAAACAGGGAAAUCAUGGUCAUUUUAAUAUAUAUGUAAAUAGGAGGACAGUGGUGUGAUGCAGAGGAUAUUAACAUUGAGCAGUACUCCACCAUUUGCUAUUGGUAUUCAGCAGGCUGAGAGUGCAGGGAGUGCCUGCUGAAGUUCACGAUUCCUGAAGUGCAAGAAAUGUAUUUUAAUUCCACUCUGCAGAGAACAGGGAUGUGCAGCUUUUACUGCUCUGCAGCAUCCAUGGUGCAGGCUCUACCCUGAUGAGGGCAAUGGGUUUCAGCUAAAUAAGCCCAAGUAAGCAGCAUCACCCUGAGAGUGUGCAGUUGCUUCUGCCUGGCCCAGGAAAUGCUCCUGCCUGGUUGGGGAAGGGUUUUUUUUUGCCUGGUAAGGAUUUAUGUCGCAGCCAAAGCACUUAUCAACUGCUCACCAUGAGAACUUGGGAUAUGGAGACUUCAAAAAGAGUGAUUGGUCUGAAAGGGAGCCCAAGGCAGGGAUGCUGCCAAGGUGAGUUGUGUGUACCUCAUGCAUUUAACAGAAGUGUAAAAUAUUGAUUUUCUGUGGCCUGGAUGAUUUCACAAAAAAAUUUGGCAGUAUAUUUUGUUCCCUAAGCUGUUUAAGGAGAUACUGCAUAUCCAUGUAAGAAAACCUCAUAGCUCAGCCUCUCCUUGUCCUUCACUGCAGAAGCACACCUGAGCUGUAUCCACCUCCUCUCACAAGCAUUGUA